UACGUAGGGGGGCAAGCGUUGUCCGGAAUCAUUGGGCGUAAAGAGCGCGUAGGCGGUCCGGUAAGUCCGCUCUGAAAGUCCGGGGGCUCAACCCCCGGGCCUGCAUUCGAUACGGGCAGACUAGAGUUCGGUAGGGGGAGUCUGGAAUUCCUGGUGUAGCGGUGAAAAUGCGCAGAUAUCAGGAGGAACACCGGUGGCGAAGGCGGGACUCUGGGCCGAUACUGACGCUGAGGAGCGAAAGCGUGGGGAGCGAACAGG
rnacentral:rRNA from 1 species